UAUAUAAAAGGAACUAUAACUAAUAUUAGAAUGAUAUAUCCUCGUUCUUUCUUUCUUUACUUCUUUCUUUCUUUCUUCUCUGCCCUUUUCCCUCUUCUUUCUUACUUGUUUUUUUUUUAUUAAAACAA
rnacentral:ribozyme from 17 species